GUAGGGUGCGAGCGUUAAUCGGAAUUACUGGGCGUAAAGCGUGCGUAGGCGGUUUUGUAAGUCAGAUGUGCAAUCCCCGGGCUUAACCUGGGAACUGCGUUUGAAACUACAGAGCUAGAGUGUGGCAGAGGGGGGUGGAAUUCCACGUGCAGCAGUGAAAUGCGUAGAAAUGUGGAGGAACACCGAUGGCGAAGGCAACCCCCUGGGCCAACACUGACGCUGAGGCACGAAAGCGUGGGGAGCAAACAGGAUUAGAUACCCUGGUAGUCCACGCCCUAAACUAUGUCAACUAGUUGUCGGGGAAGCAAUUCUUUGGUAACGAAGCUAACGCGUGAAGUUGACCGCCUGGGGAGUACGGUCGCAAGAUUA
rnacentral:rRNA from 1 species